rnacentral:rRNA from 1 species
AAGGGUGGUGUAGGCGGACAUUUAAGUCAGAGGUGAAAUCCCGGGGCUCAACCCCGGAACUGCCCCUGAUACUAUUUGUCUUGAAUACUGAUGAGGUGGGCGGAACGGGUCAUGUAGCGGUGAAAUGCUUAGAGAUGACCCGGAACACCGAUUGCGAAGGCAGCUCACUGGGCAGUUAUUGACGCUGAGGCACGAAAGCGUGGGGAUCAAACAGGAUUAGAUACCCGAGU